UGUUGAUUUUGUUGAAUCUAGUGUUAGAUUAGAAUUUCUUAGUGUUUCUAGAGUCUAAACCUUCAAUUUCGAGUUAGGGUUUGUGUUCCACCAUUGUUGAGCUUCAAAGCUUCAAGAACAAGGUUGUGGGUCUUGUUAAAGAAUGUGAAAUUGAAGGUUGAAACCUAUUGGGCUUUCUUCUCUACAUCAAAGAGAACUUAGAUCUAAAAUUUGAGCUAAUUUGGAGUUGAUUUGAGGGUAGUUGAAUUUUUGAAUUGUUCUUGUGUUCUUGAAGACCUUCAAAUCUUCAUAAGGAAGAAGACUCUCCAAAGGGCCAUUUGAUCCAAAAGUUGCCAAACAAAGUUGUGAAAAAGUGUUUGUGGGCCCAA